rnacentral:rRNA from 1 species
GACGAACGCUGGCGGCGUGCCUAAUACAUGCAAGUAGAACGCAGUUGCGAACGGGUGCGUAACGCGUAGGUAACUGCCUCAUAGCGGGGGAUAACUGUUGGAAACGAUAGCUAAUACCGCAUACUGUGAGAUGGACCUGCGUUGUAUUAGCUAGUUGGUGAGGUAAAGGCUCACCAAGGCGACGAUACAUAGCCGGACUGAGAGGGGGGUCGGGCAAACUUGGAAUGAGAAAAGGCCCAGAACUCGUCGGGAGGCAGCAGGAGGGAAUCGUCGGCAAGUGACGGAAGUCUGACCGAGGAACCGCGGCGGAGGUGAGAAGGUUUUCGGAUCGGAAAGCUCUUGUGUUAGAGAAGCGGUAACUAACCAGAAAGCGACGGCUAACUACGUGCCAGCAGCCGCGGUAAUAC